AUCGCAAGACCUUGCGCUUUUGGAGCGGCCGAUGUCUGAUUAGCUAGUUGGUGGGGUAAUGGCUUACCAAGGCUUCGAUCAGUAGCUGGUCUGAGAGGACGGCCAACCACACUGGGACUGAGACACGGCCCAGACUCCUACGGGAGGCAGCAGUGGGGGAUUUUGGACAAUGGGCGAAAGCCUGAUCCAGCCAUGCCGCGUGAGUGAAGAAGGCCUUCGGGUUGUAAAGCUCUUUUAGUCGGAAAGAAAGAGUUGCAAUGAAUAAUUGUGAUUUAUGACGGUACCGACAGAAAAAGCACCGGCUAACUACGUGCCAGCAGCCGCGGUAAUACGUAGGGUGCGAGCGUUAAUCGGAAUUGCUGGGCGUAAAGGGUGCGCAGGCGGUCUUGCAAGUCAGAUGUGAAAGCCCCGGGCUUAACCUGGGAAUUGCGUUUGAA
rnacentral:rRNA from 1 species